rnacentral:rRNA from 1 species
AGCGAACGCUGGCGGCAGGCCUAACACAUGCAAGUCGAACGAACUCUUCGGAGUUAGUGGCGGACGGGUGAGUAACACGUGGGAACGUGCCUUUAGGUUCGGAAUAACUCAGGGAAACUUGUGCUAAUACCGAAUGUGCCCUUCGGGGGAAAGAUUUAUCGCCUUUAGAGCGGCCCGCGUCUGGUUAGCUAGUUGGUGAGGUAACGGCUCACCAAGGCGACGAUCAGUAGCUGGUCUGAGAGGACGGCCAGCCACACUGGGACUGAGACACGGCCCAGACUCCUACGGGAGGCAGCAGUGGGGAAUCUUGCGCAAUGGGCGAAAGCCUGACGCAGCCAUGCUGCGUGAAUGAUGAAGGUCUUAGGAUUGUAAAAUUCUUUCACCGGGGACGAUAAUGACGGUACCCGGAGAAGAAGCCCCGGCUAACUUCGUGCCAGCCGCCGCGGUAA